rnacentral:rRNA from 1 species
UACGUAGGGGGCUAGCGUUGUCCGGAUUUAUUGGGCGUAAAGAGCGUGUAGGCGGCCUGGUAGGUCUGCUGUGAAAACUCGAGGCUCAACCUCGAGAUGUCGGCGGAAACCAUCCGGCUAGAGUCCGGAAGAGGAGAGUGGAAUUCCUGGUGUAGCGGUGAAAUGCGCAGAUAUCAGGAGGAACACCAAUGGCGAAGGCAGCACUCUGGGACGUGACUGACGCUGAGACGCGAAAGCGUGGGGAGCAAACAGG